rnacentral:rRNA from 1 species
AGAGUUUGAUCCUGGCUCAGGAUGAACGCUGGCGGCGUGCUUAAUACAUGCAAGUCGAACGAGGAACUUCUGUCUUCGGACGGGGGUUUCCUAGUGGCGAACGGGUGAGUAACGCGUUGGUGACCUGCCCCGAAGCGGGGGAUAACAGUUCGAAGGGACUGCUAAUACCCCAUGUGAUCUGCAGGAUUAGAUGCCUGCUGAUUAAAGGCGUAAGCCACUUUGGGAGGGGCCUGCGUCCCAUCAGCUAGUUGGUAGGGUAAUGGCCUACCAAGGCUAUGACGGGUAGGGGACCUGAGAGGGUGGCCCCCCACACUGGCACUGAAACACGGGCCAGACACCUACGGGUGGCAGCAGUAGGGAAUAUUGGACAAUGGGCGAAAGCCUGAUCCAGCAACGCCGCGUGCGCGAUGACGGCCUUUGGGUUGUAAAGCGCUUUUAGAGGAGAUGAGAAAGGACAGUAUCCUCAGAAUAAGCCUCGGCGAACUACGUGCCAGCAGCCGCGGUAAAACGUAGGAGGCUAGCGUUAUCCGGAUUUAUUGGGCGUAAAGCGCGUGCAGGCGGUUUGAUAAGUUGGAUGUGAAAUCUCCCGGCUUAACUGGGAGCGGUCGUUCAAUACUAUCAGACUAGAGAAUGGGAGAGGGAGGUGGAAUUCCGGGUGUAGUGGUGAAAUGCGUAGAUAUCCGGAGGAACACCAGUGGCGAAAGCGGCCUCCUAGACCAUUUCUGACGCUAAGACGCGAAAGCUAGGGUAGCAAACGGGAUUAGAGACCCCGGUAGUCCUAGCCGUAAACGAUGUAGACUUGGCGUUGGCGGAGUUAAAUCUGCCAGUGCCGAAGCUAACGCGUGAAGUCUACCGCCUGGGGACUACGACCGCAAGGUUAAACUCAAAGGAUUGACGGGGACCCGCACAAGCAGCGGAGCGUGGGGUUUAAUUCAAGCUACACGAAGAACCUUACCAGGUUUGAAUGCAAGUGGUAGUGAUCUGAAAAGUGAACAACCUUCG